rnacentral:lncRNA from 1 species
UUUUGUACCUAGGGUUUUCGACGGUCUUGCAUAUUGUAUGCUUUGUGUGUGAUUAUCUAGCUCCGUAUGUGAGUAUCUUGUUUUGUGUGUGAAUAUCUGGCUCCGUAUGUGAGUAUCUGGUUUUGUGUGUGAAUAUCUGGAUAUCUGGUUUCGUUAUACCUUGCUUGUCGAAACUGUUUUUUCUUUCAAGCUGGUUCAUUAAUCAUGGCUUCUAAUACGAACGCUGGUACCUCCUCCUCGGUAGACUCUACCAGCCCCCUCUUUGUAUACUCCUCUGAUGUCCCUGGGGUCUCUCUUGUCCCCACUCCCUUCUCGGGAA